rnacentral:telomerase_RNA from 1 species
GAGCAGCGUGGCCGUCCGGCCGCCGCGACCCGACGCGGGCCGCGGGCCCGUGGCAACCCUAAUUCUAACCUCUCGGCGGCGCGCCUCCGUCGCGCCCGUCGGCCGCCCCGUGGCCUUUCCACUGCAGCUUUCACCACGUCGCGUCUCGGCGCGCGCAAAAAACGAAACUGCGCAGCGCGUCGCGGCCGGGCAAGAGGCCCAGGGCGGUGUGCCCCUCCGCGGCUCGGGGGAAGGCCCGCUUCCUCGACGAAGCGGGACGAGGAGGUCAUCUCCGCUCCCCCGCGCACGCCGGCGUCGAGGGACCCCGACCCGCCCACCCCUUUCGCUUU